GGGUUGUGAGGUUAAGCGACUAAGCGUACACGGUGGAUGCCCUGGCAGUCAGAGGCGAUGAAGGGCGUGCUAAUCUGCGAUAAGCGCCGGUAAGGUGAUAUGAACCGUUAUAACCGGCGAUACCCGAAUGGGGAAACCCAGUGUGAUUCGUCACACUAUCAUUAACUGAAUCCAUAGGUUAAUGAGGCGAACCGGGGGAACUGAAACAUCUAAGUACCCCGAGGAAAAGAAAUCAACCGAGAUUCCCCCAGUAGCGGCGAGCGAACGGGGAGGAGCCCAGAGCCUGAAUCAGCAUGUGUGUUAGUGGAAGCGUCUGGAAAGGCGCGCGAUACAGGGUGACAGCCCCGUACACAAAAGCGCAUGUGCUGUGAGCUCGAUGAGUAGGGCGGGACACGUGGUAUCCUGUCUGAAUAUGGGGGGACCAUCCUCCAAGGCUAAAUACUCCUGACUGACCGAUAGUGAACCAGUACCGUGAGGGAAAGGCGAAAAGAACCCCGGCGAGGGGAGUGAAAAAGAACCUGAAACCGUGUACGUACAAGCAGUGGGAGCACCCUUUGGGGUGUGACUGCGUACCUUUUGUAUAAUGGGUCAGCGACUUAUAUUCUGUAGCAAGGUUAACCGUAUAGGGGAGCCGUAGGGAAACCGAGUCUUAACCGGGCGUUAAGUUGCAGGGUAUAGACCCGAAACCCGGUGAUCUAGCCAUGGGCAGGUUGAAGGUUGGGUAACACUAACUGGAGGACCGAACCGACUAAUGUUGAAAAAUUAGCGGAUGACCUGUGGCUGGGGGUGAAAGGCCAAUCAAACCGGGAGAUAGCUGGUUCUCCCCGAAAGCUAUUUAGGUAGCGCCUCGUGAAUUCAUCUCCGGGGGUAGAGCACUGUUUCGGCUAGGGGGCCAUCCCGGCUUACCAACCCGAUGCAAACUGCGAAUACCGGAGAAUGUUAUCACGGGAGACACACGGCGGGUGCUAACGUCCGUCGUGAAGAGGGAAACAACCCAGACCGCCAGCUAAGGUCCCAAAGUCAUAGUUAAGUGGGAAACGAUGUGGGAAGGCCCAGACAGCCAGGAUGUUGGCUUAGAAGCAGCCAUCAUUUAAAGAAAGCGUAAUAGCUCACUGGUCGAGUCGGCCUGCGCGGAAGAUGUAACGGGGCUAAACUAUGCACCGAAGCUGCGGCAGCGACACUAUGUGUUGUUGGGUAGGGGAGCGUUCUGUAAGCCUGUGAAGGUGUGUCGUGAGGCAUGCUGGAGGUAUCAGAAGUGCGAAUGCUGACAUAAGUAACGAUAAAGCGGGUGAAAAGCCCGCUCGCCGGAAGACCAAGGGUUCCUGUCCAACGUUAAUCGGGGCAGGGUGAGUCGACCCCUAAGGCGAGGCCGAAAGGCGUAGUCGAUGGGAAACGGGUUAAUAUUCCCGUACUUGGUGUUACUGCGAAGGGGGGACGGAGAAGGCUAUGUUGGCCGGGCGACGGUUGUCCCGGUUUAAGCGUGUAGGUGUGUGUUCCAGGUAAAUCCGGUUCACUUUAACACUGAGGCGUGACGACGAGGCACUACGGUGCUGAAGCAACAAAUGCCCUGCUUCCAGGAAAAGCCUCUAAGCAUCAGGUAACAUCAAAUCGUACCCCAAACCGACACAGGUGGUCAGGUAGAGAAUACCAAGGCGCUUGAGAGAACUCGGGUGAAGGAACUAGGCAAAAUGGUGCCGUAACUUCGGGAGAAGGCACGCUGACACGUAGGUGAAGUGAUUUACUCAUGGAGCUGAAGUCAGUCGAAGAUACCAGCUGGCUGCAACUGUUUAUUAAAAACACAGCACUGUGCAAACACGAAAGUGGACGUAUACGGUGUGACGCCUGCCCGGUGCCGGAAGGUUAAUUGAUGGGGUCAGCGCAAGCGAAGCUCCUGAUCGAAGCCCCGGUAAACGGCGGCCGUAACUAUAACGGUCCUAAGGUAGCGAAAUUCCUUGUCGGGUAAGUUCCGACCUGCACGAAUGGCGUAAUGAUGGCCAGGCUGUCUCCACCCGAGACUCAGUGAAAUUGAACUCGCUGUGAAGAUGCAGUGUACCCGCGGCAAGACGGAAAGACCCCGUGAACCUUUACUAUAGCUUGACACUGAACAUUGAGCCUUGAUGUGUAG
rnacentral:rRNA from 1 species